rnacentral:rRNA from 1 species
AGCGUACACGGUGGAUGCCCUGGCAGUCAGAGGCGAUGAAGGACGUGCUAAUCUGCGAUAAGCGUCGGUAAGGUGAUAUGAACCGUUAUAACCGGCGAUUUCCGAAUGGGGAAACCCAGUGUGAUUCGUCACACUAUCAUUAACUGAAUCCAUAGGUUAAUGAGGCGAACCGGGGGAACUGAAACAUCUAAGUACCCCGAGGAAAAGAAAUCAACCGAGAUUCCCCCAGUAGCGGCGAGCGAACGGGGAGGAGCCCAGAGCCUGAAUCAGUGUGUGUGUUAGUGGAAGCGUCUGGAAAGGCGCGCGAUACAGGGUGACAGCCCCGUACACAAAAAUGCACAUACUGUGAGCUCGAUGAGUAGGGCGGGACACGUGGUAUCCUGUCUGAAUAUGGGGGGACCAUCCUCCAAGGCUAAAUACUCCUGACUGACCGAUAGUGAACCAGUACCGUGAGGGAAAGGCGAAAAGAACCCCGGCGAGGGGAGUGAAAAAGAACCUGAAACCGUGUACGUACAAGCAGUGGGAGCCUCUUUAUGGGGUGACUGCGUACCUUUUGUAUAAUGGGUCAGCGACUUAUAUUCUGUAGCAAGGUUAACCGAAUAGGGGAGCCGAAGGGAAACCGAGUCUUAACUGGGCGUUAAGUUGCAGGGUAUAGACCCGAAACCCGGUGAUCUAGCCAUGGGCAGGUUGAAGGUUGGGUAACACUAACUGGAGGACCGAACCGACUAAUGUUGAAAAAUUAGCGGAUGACUUGUGGCUGGGGGUGAAAGGCCAAUCAAACCGGGAGAUAGCUGGUUCUCCCCGAAAGCUAUUUAGGUAGCGCCUCGUGAAUUCAUCUCCGGGGGUAGAGCACUGUUUCGGCAAGGGGGUCAUCCCGACUUACCAACCCGAUGCAAACUGCGAAUACCGGAGAAUGUUAUCACGGGAGACACACGGCGGGUGCUAACGUCCGUCGUGAAGAGGGAAACAACCCAGACCGCCAGCUAAGGUCCCAAAGUCAUGGUUAAGUGGGAAACGAUGUGGGAAGGCCCAGACAGCCAGGAUGUUGGCUUAGAAGCAGCCAUCAUUUAAAGAAAGCGUAAUAGCUCACUGGUCGAGUCGGCCUGCGCGGAAGAUGUAACGGGGCUAAACCAUGCACCGAAGCUGCGGCAGCGACGCUUAUGCGUUGUUGGGUAGGGGAGCGUUCUGUAAGCCUGUGAAGGUGUACUGUGAGGUAUGCUGGAGGUAUCAGAAGUGCGAAUGCUGACAUAAGUAACGAUAAAGCGGGUGAAAAGCCCGCUCGCCGGAAGACCAAGGGUUCCUGUCCAACGUUAAUCGGGGCAGGGUGAGUCGACCCCUAAGGCGAGGCCGAAAGGCGUAGUCGAUGGGAAACAGGUUAAUAUUCCUGUACUUGGUGUUACUGCGAAGGGGGGACGGAGAAGGCUAUGUUGGCCGGGCGACGGUUGUCCCGGUUUAAGCGUGUAGGCUGGUUUUCCAGGCAAAUCCGGAAAAUCAAGGCUGAGGCGUGAUGACGAGGCACUACGGUGCUGAAGCAACAAAUGCCCUGCUUCCAGGAAAAGCCUCUAAGCAUCAGGUAACAUCAAAUCGUACCCCAAACCGACACAGGUGGUCAGGUAGAGAAUACCAAGGCGCUUGAGAGAACUCGGGUGAAGGAACUAGGCAAAAUGGUGCCGUAACUUCGGGAGAAGGCACGCUGAUAUGUAGGUGAAGCGACUUGCUCGUGGAGCUGAAAUCAGUCGAAGAUACCAGCUGGCUGCAACUGUUUAUUAAAAACACAGCACUGUGCAAACACGAAAGUGGACGUAUACGGUGUGACGCCUGCCCGGUGCCGGAAGGUUAAUUGAUGGGGUUAGCGGUAACGCGAAGCUCUUGAUCGAAGCCCCGGUAAACGGCGGCCGUAACUAUAACGGUCCUAAGGUAGCGAAAUUCCUUGUCGGGUAAGUUCCGACCUGCACGAAUGGCGUAAUGAUGGCCAGGCUGUCUCCACCCGAGACUCAGUGAAAUUGAACUCGCUGUGAAGAUGCAGUGUACCCGCGGCAAGACGGAAAGACCCCGUGAACCUUUACUAUAGCUUGACACUGAACAUUGAGCCUUGAUGUGUAGGAUAGGUGGGAGGCUUUGAAGUGUGGACGCCAGUCUGCAUGGAGCCGGCCUUGAAAUACCACCCUUUAAUGUUUGAUGUUCUAACGUUGGCCCCUGAUCGGGGUUGCGGACAGUGUCUGGUGGGUAGUUUGACUGGGGCGGUCUCCUCCUAAAGAGUAACGGAGGAGCACGAAGGUUGGCUAAUCCUGGUCGGACAUCAGGAGGUUAGUGCAAUGGCAUAAGCCAGCUUGACUGCGAGCGUGACGGCGCGAGCAGGUGCGAAAGCAGGUCAUAGUGAUCCGGUGGUUCUGAAUGGAAGGGCCAUCGCUCAACGGAUAAAAGGUACUCCGGGGAUAACAGGCUGAUACCGCCCAAGAGUUCAUAUCGACGGCGGUGUUUGGCACCUCGAUGUCGGCUCAUCACAUCCUGGGGCUGAAGUAGGUCCCAAGGGUAUGGCUGUUCGCCAUUUAAAGUGGUACGCGAGCUGGGUUUAGAACGUCGUGAGACAGUUCGGUCCCUAUCUGCCGUGGGCGCUGGAGAACUGAGGGGGGCUGCUCCUAGUACGAGAGGACCGGAGUGGACGCAUCACUGGUGUUCGGGUUGUCAUGCCAAUGGCACUGCCCGGUAGCUAAAUGCGGAAGAGAUAAGUGCUGAAAGCAUCUAAGCACGAAACUUGCCCCGAGAUGAGUUCU